AACUCCAUAUAUAAUUAAUUCCAAAAUUAAUAUUUUAAUGGAUAACACAAUGAAGAUUAGCGGACAAUAAGCCGUUUCCUCACAAAAGUGGUUUAUGCGGAGUAACUACUGAAGCAGCUCCUCUGUUGACAUGCUGAGUCUCUGAUUGCUCUCAGGAGCAUCCUGUAAAGUUCCACUUCAUCUUUUAAAACCCUGGGAAGGAACAAUCCCAUCAUGCAUGUGUUGGCAUAUGGUAGACGGCAUCCACGCUGCUCUGGCUGGUAGAAAUGAAUGCUGGGCUUCUGGGAGAACCCAAGUGGUGGGACUUCAUCCGCUCCGGUUAUGAAAGUCAAAAUUUCCUCAAAAUGCAAUGGGUUUUCCGGCACUUUUGGUUUUUUAUCUGUUGAGGUAAAAUGAUAAGCUUGAGUCCAAACGAACUGCCAAUUGCAAGCAAACUUAUAGACAAUUAUUUACAAUUCAUUUCACAGUUCAUUUACUAACUACCUCACCUUCAAUCAUUUUAAGCACCAGUUCCCAGUACUGUAUAGUCUCCUCCUCAGCCUUCCUCUUCUCGGUCCCUGAUUUACUCCAGUGGAUUUGGAAUAAGUCUGUGAAGGUGCUUCUGGAAAGGGGCUCAUGCAUGUUGGUAAAGAUGGGUAGAAACUCAACCCAGUGAGUGCUCACCAUAUCCCAGAACUGUCCAUAAGCAUUCAGUCCCUUUGUGAACUGAUGAAUCAUAUUUGAUGUUCUGUAAAAAUAACACAGGUUGUUAAAUGUCCAUUCUUGUACUUAAGCAACACAUUACUAAAUAGGCCUUUUAGCUCAACCAAUCAGAUCGUCUAGAGGACAAGAACUAACUGUUAAAUUAGUGUUUCUUUGAUAAAAACAGUCAUUUUAUCAUUUAAAUAAAUCAAUAAGAAAAAUGUAAGUUAUAUAUAUACCUUAGAUAUAUGUAAUGUCGAACUGCAAAGGAGUAAAUCUUUGGAACAUCUCGGAUGGAAAUUUCAUGUCUGUAUAUUCCAAGGAAACCACAUUCACAGAUCCAGUCGCCCAGCUCUGUCUGCAGCCUCUGGAGAUCUGCCGUCGUUUUGCAUGACGAAAUCUAAAAGCAAGAUAAAAUGAUUAGAGAUCUUGCAGUUAAAGAAGGGUGAAGAUGAAUAUUUUUAUGAAGAAAUGGACAGAAACCUUUUGCAGUUUGUCCUGAAUGUCAGCAUCUGGUAUUAGGUGCCAGUCAAAGUCUACCAGUUGACAUUCCUGGGUGCACAUCAGCUGGUACAGGCAUGGGUCAAGAGAUUUGAGUCCUGGUCCGCCAUGAGCCACAGACCACGCAAUCAGCUUCCCCGCCAAUUCAUACUUGUUUUCUUCCAGCGCCAUUUGGUCAUAGGUGAAGAACAAGUGUCCAGGCUGCCCCUCAAAGAUGCCCAGCGAGCUCUGCACCUCCAUCAUCAAGAUUCUGAGGCAGGGGUAAAGGAGAAACAACAGAUGUCAAACUGUGACAUACAGUGCAUGUUUCAUAUUUGAGAACUGGUCUUCUACUGUACAUUUUGUUAAAGAAGAAUAUGUAUUCAUCUUUGUAUUAGGAAUACCUGAAAAACUCUCUCCGUGGACCUCCACAGUCAAGUGCUUCCUCGCCAUCAAAUGUAAUGAGAGGGAUUUUGGUCCAAGGGAAAUUAGAGUUGGAAACAGAAUCUUUAGCACUCUUCAGCACCUUGUUACGAGAAACCAAUACUGAAACAUUCUCACUGCCACUGAGAUGCAUGUGUUGAAACUCUCUGAGCAAAGAGACAAAGUCCAUGUCCUCCUGUUGAAGAGAUGUAAAUAACAUCUUAUGCUAUCUUUCCAAUCUUUCUGCAAUGUCAAUGCUGUACACUGGUUUAAGGUGUAUGUAAAAUUUGUGUGUAUGUCUUAUAUUUAUAUAUAAUAAGCAUGUAAAAUAAUAUGAACGAAAAUUGUAAUAAAUAUCAUUACCAUUGAAGAGUUUCGGCUUGAAUCUGACAGAAAACUGCUGGUUGAAGUCAGGCGGUGCCUCUGUUGUGCAGGAACAGGUGGAGGAGAACGUGAUCGGGAGAAAGCAUUUGCAUACAAGACUGAUGAUACUGUGUUUGUGGUCAUCUGUGAAAAAUGAAUAGCACAGUUUAAUUGUUUGGUAUUGUCAAGUAAUUCUCAACUAGCAGGUUCAGGUGCAAAAAAAAGUGCCUUCAAAGAACAGCCGGGCUUAAACAUUCACCUUAGUUUAUUCAUUAUUUAUUAAUAAUUAAAUGAGAUGUUUCCUACUAUACCUCAUUUAGAAUAAUGUCUGUCUGAGGAACUAUAUAAAGUAUGUUGUCAGCCAGCUCCUUUUUCAUUUUCUUUAGAGUGUUUGAAUGUAAUAUGGAAAGUCGUCCACGUUUAUCAGUCUUUGCAAAAUGGAAACCAAUCACAUCCAGGUCGACCAAAGGAUAACUGGAGCAAAUGAAGCGAUUCAGGUCUUGCCAAGUACAGUUUAGAUCUACCCCUCUUGACUCCUGAGCAGGCUGAAAGGAUGUACCUAAACCGGCUCUUGUGAGUUCUGAACUUUUUCUGGGGCUUGGGAUGGUCGUCUGGUUGGCAUACUGUACGAGAAAGAGACUCGGUUUCCAGUAAGAUGAUGCUUUCCGGACCUUUCUGGAUUCUAAGUAUAAUGGAAUCAAGGUCAAUGAUAACACCACACUGGGUACUAAUACUACAAAGAUGAAAGUUGUUUGAUGGAUGAUUCAUUUUUGAUGUUAGUGUCCUAAGAAAACAUUCUCACCUGUUUUAUGUUUAUUGCUAUUCUCUUCCUCUGAUGUUUGUCGCUCAACCGCUCUCGCUGGCCAGUUGAUGCCAGACGUACUGUCUACUGGACAAACUGGGCAUGAUGUUCGACUGCCCCUCCUUGAUCCUACAGCACAUACAACAUUUUUACAAAAGAUUCUAUGCAUGUAAACAUAUUCAAGUAGCAGUUCUGACAACUGAAAUUAGUUAUUUUCUCACACUUACUCAGAAGGCGGACAGCGCUUGUGCUUCCGUACAGAUCAAUGAAAACCCACAGCGGAUUAUUCAGGUUAAGUCCUUCUGCUUUGAGGUAAUAUUUCUCCCCUCCUAUCUCUUGCACAAUAACCAUGCCUGCAUAGUUUAUCCAGAACUGAAGCUGUACACCGCACCUAGACAAGUCCUCAGGCACUGGCACAACACAGUAUCCUCGUGUGUCCCUGAGGUGUGGUAUUGAAGCAGCUGGUAAAUUGUUUCUUUGUGGGCAGAUGUUUGUGAAACCUACACGAAGAGCUCCAUCCCACGACGAGGUGCAGUCCUCAAUAUGUAUACACAGCUUUUCAUCCACUUUUACAGUGCGGCUGAGAAAUACCAAACCGUUCAUAAAGGACGAGGUGUCUCUGGACGCGAGUUGUCCUCCUCGGCUGAGGGUCACAUUUUGGCCUGUCAGGUCCUUAUUGAAAGUCAUCGGACCCAGACAUCGACUGCCACACAUGCGAUCGUGCUCUAAAAUGAUACAAAUGAAUAUUACAGUGAGUCUGACAAACCAAUGAACCUACAUUAUAUGAGACACUUUUAUGUUAGUAUGACCAAUUAUACUCACUCAUUGUUGGUUUGCCUCAUGAAAUGGUCCUGAUGUUCAAGAUGGUAAACACAACUGAAACUUUGUGACUCCCGCUUUUAACAUCCAGUUAGAGUGCCUCAAAGCACUAAAGCCUGUUUGACUAGUUGCACUGGUCGAAUGAAGUUAUAAGAGAAGAAAAAAGGGGAUGAGCUUACAUGCAGGUGGAGCAGAGUGUGGGAAAUUACUGGCUGACUGAUGUUUCUGGAUUUUCCAUACAACGAAUUGCAUUACAAGAAGUUUUUGUGUUCAAGUUUCUUUUUCUAAUAAAUGUGCUACCUGCGAAAUUAGAUGGCGUAUGAGAAUCUCAUAAAAACAUGUUGAGAUCAUCACAUCACAUUUAACUUAUUAAAUUUAUAAUUAAUUAUUGUUUAAAAUGUCAAUUAAAUCCAGAUGUUAAAUGUAAUUUGUAUAUUUAAAUCUCAAACAUAAAUCUUAAAUACAAAACUUUUUAUGCUUUUUCUUCAGUUUAUUUUUUGAAAACUGAAAUUGGAUUUAAAUGCAAAACAAAGCAAAAUUUAUGACUGUUUAAAAUUAAAAUUACAUUACUAGUCUUUUAUCCCCAUUUGGAAAAUUAUACCACCAGAUCUUCAAAUUUCAAGCCAUCAUUCCCUUGGAAAUAAUUCCUUCUUUCCAUAUUUUUUAGAAAUGUAUUACUGACUCGUGUGAUUGUUUUAAUUAAUCUGUGGAUUUAUGCUUAUUGUUUUGUAUUGGCUGUUUAUAAUGUGUUUUGUGUCUGUAUGCUUUUGUGAAAUUUUGUUGUGACCAUCUUGGCCAGGACUCCCUGGGAAAAGAGAUUGCUUAUAAUCUCAAUGGGACCUUCCUGGAAAAAUAUAGGAUGGAUAAAUAAAUAAAUAAACAUAA